UUGAACGCUGGCGGCAGGCCUAACACAUGCAAGUCGAACGGUAACAGGAAUCAGCUUGCUGAUUCGCUGACGAGUGGCGGACGGGUGAGUAAUGUCUGGGAAACUGCCUGAUGGAGGGGGAUAACUACUGGAAACGGUAGCUAAUACCGCAUAACGUCGCAAGACCAAAGAGGGGGACCUUCGGGCCUCUUGCCAUCGGAUGUGCCCAGAUGGGAUUAGCUAGUAGGUGGGGUAAAGGCUCACCUAGGCGACGAUCCCUAGCUGGUCUGAGAGGAUGACCAGCCACACUGGAACUGAGACACGGUCCAGACUCCUACGGGAGGCAGCAGUGGGGAAUAUUGCACAAUGGGCGCAAGCCUGAUGCAGCCAUGCCGCGUGUAUGAAGAAGGCCUUCGGGUUGUAAAGUACUUUCAGCGGGGAGGAAGGGAGUAAAGUUAAUACCUUUGCUCAUUGACGUUACCCGCAGAAGAAGCACCGGCUAACUCCGUGCCAGCAGCCGCGGUAAUACGGAGGGUGCAAGCGUUAAUCGGAAUUACUGGGCGUAAAGCGCACGCAGGCGGUUUGUUAAGUCAGAUGUGAAAUCCCCGGGCUCAACCUGGGAACUGCAUCUGAUACUGGCAAGCUUGAGUCUCGUAGAGGGGGGUAGAAUUCCAGGUGUAGCGGUGAAAUGCGUAGAGAUCUGGAGGAAUACCGGUGGCGAAGGCGGCCCCCUGGACGAAGACUGACGCUCAGGUGCGAAAGCGUGGGGAGCAAACAGGAUUAGAUACCCUGAUAGUCCACGCCGUAAACGAUGUCGACUUGGAGGUUGUGCCCUUGAGGCGUGGCUUCCGGAGCUAACGCGUUAAGUCGACCGCCUGGGGAGUACGGCCGCAAGGUUAAAACUCAAAUGAAUUGACGGGGGCCCGCACAAGCGGUGGAGCAUGUGGUUUAAUUCGAUGCAACGCGAAGAACCUUACCUGGUCUUGACAUCCACAGAACUUUCCAGAGAUGGAUUGGUGCCUUCGGGAACUGUGAGACAGGUGCUGCAUGGCUGUCGUCAGCUCGUGUUGUGAAAUGUUGGGUUAAGUCCCGCAACGAGCGCAACCCUUAUCCUUUGUUGCCAGCGGUCCGGCCGGGAACUCAAAGGAGACUGCCAGUGAUAAACUGGAGGAAGGUGGGGAUGACGUCAAGUCAUCAUGGCCCUUACGACCAGGGCUACACACGUGCUACAAUGGCGCAUACAAAGAGAAGCGACCUCGCGAGAGCAAGCGGACCUCAUAAAGUGCGUCGUAGUCCGGAUUGGAGUCUGCAACUCGACUCCAUGAAGUCGGAAUCGCUAGUAAUCGUGGAUCAGAAUGCCACGGUGAAUACGUUCCCGGGCCUUGUACACACCGCCCGUCACACCAUGGGAGUGGGUUGCAAAAGAAGUAGGUAGCUUAACCUUCGGGAGGGCGCUUACCACUUUGUGAUUCAUGACUGGGGUG
rnacentral:rRNA from 1 species